GAUUUUCUCGUUUGAUGGCCAGGCUAAAUAUGCACUGAACCUUGGUUUGGGUAACAAGUUACUGAAGAAUGCAAAGAAUGUCGAGUAUCUCCCAUCAAGGUGGUGUGUGGCAGACCCCUCAAAAGAUCUAACAAGUGUAGCCAACCACCUGAGAAUAGCCUGCAGUGCUGCUGAUUGCACAACACUUAAUUAUGGCGGAUCUUGCAAUGAAAUUGGGGCAAAAGGAAACAUCUCAUAUGCAUUCAACAGUUACUAUCAGCUCCAGAUGCAAAAUGCACAAAGCUGUGAUUUCGAUGGGCUUGGUAUGGUGACAUUCCUAGACCCAUCAGUUGGUGAUUGCAGGUUCCCUGUUGGAGUGAAUGAUCAUAAGAGUUCAUUAGCUUUCAGAUCAUGUCAUAGGUGGACCACCAUUUGGACUUCUAUCCUAGGGGGGGUGUGGUUCUUUCUAAUGUUAUGAGAAGUUUCUUUGCAUGAGUUUUUCUCACCCCCCCUGUUCAAGAACUAUAAGCAGUCUUGCACAUAGACAAGAGAAUACAGUUAUUUAGGUAUGUCCAAAAUGUGAUAGCAUAUCGAGUAGGAAACAGAGUAGACUCAUGUACUGGAUAUUUAUCCCAUCUUGAAAUUAUAUUGACCUUAUUUUUCUAUGUACUUUGAAUUUUAUCAUGUAUUUAAUGUGCUUGCACUCUGAUUUGUGAUCCAGGCAUGUCAAGUUUAGUAGAAAUUCCCAUUGCAUCAGGUAUUUAUUAUUACCAAGUUAAAUUCUUUGAUUACAAAAAGGUAAAAUCGCAUCUGAUAGAGCCUCUCAUUUAGAAAGGCAGAAGAAUGGUGAAGAACUUCUGCAACUUGCAGAAUGAUACUCAUUGUUUUGUUAUGUUUCGAUGCAACACAAGACUGUAAACAAGCACAUGAAUGCUGCCACAUUCCACAUUCACACCUCAUUGUUUUGUUAUGUUUCGAUGCAGGGCUUUUGCUGCAUGUUUGUCUGCAGCAGCAGCGCCAACCUUCAAAUAAACAUGAAUGAUGCUUACCUCGUGAGUACAACAAGAUCAAAAGUAAACAGAAUCAACAAUAAACCAUGAGCAGGCAUAAUAUAUUUAGUUUACCUCGAGGAUAAUACACUGCAAAGGUAAAUCCUUUUAUUACAGGAUACUGAUAAAAUUACAAAUGCCGGAGCCCUCUCGUUUAUAAUAAGAAGAAGAGUAUUGAAGAACUUCUGCAACUUGCAGAAUGAUGCUCCAAUACUCCAAUUAUUUGCAGCUUAUAGUAUAAUUUAUUUUGGUCUGCAACACAAGAUUUACACACACACACACACACACACACACACACACACAAGCACAUAGAUUAUGCCACAUUCACGCCUUAUUGUUUUUUAUGUUCCGAUGCAGCAGUUCUCUCCUCUAAUGCUAGUGCAGCAUACUUUUCCACAGCGCAUGUUUGGUAUCCUUCCGACAAAGAAGCAGCAGCGACAACCUUCAAAUAAUCAAGAAUUACAUUAGUGGAAAAGCAAUCAACCAUGAAGGAUAAGCAAGCAUGGUGAAUUUAAAUUACCUUGAGGAUAAUACACUUUCUCGGAUGCCAGCAUACGAGGACCUUCAGUUGCAUGUGCACAAAUGGUGAAGGAUGCCACCAAGAGGAGGCUAGCCAUGAAAGCCACAGAUACAGUUUCCUUUCUCACCAUCUUUGCUUGCACAAUAUAUAGUUUGUAUCAAAGAAAAAUAUACAUGUAAUUUUGGAAUGAGAAGCCUUGUUUAUAACAUCCUAUUUAUACCACAAAUUUGCAUAUACUUUCCUUAGGCGGCUUGGAAAUUUAUGAGCAAGUGGGGUGUCUUUUUUUGCUUGCACUGCUACUUAGUCAUUAACUAACUAGUAGUAGUGUAGUGCCUAUCAGUUCUGCAUGGACAUUUGUUUGUCCUUUAUUAAGCUUAAUAAAUUGAAUGACUCGUCUCAAUAGCUAUCUAAAUGAAAAAUCAGUAACUAUGAGCUGCCAACACUGACUUAUCAAGACUUGGAAGAUUUGUUUGCUCCACUAGGUGCUUUAACACAAACAGUAUCAGUAACAAGUUGGGCCAUUACGCUUUGCAUGGAGAGCACUAAAGCACACAGUACUGGAAAUCUGUGAGUCCGUGAGAGGAGAGUUUCUGCGUGCAUUUUUUAGUUUAUUAUUAUUAUUAUUCCUUUUCCAUCCAUGAUGGGUUUGGCAGCCACCCUUAUGUCGAUAUAUAAUGAAGUUUCUUUAGCCUACUAUAUAAUUCUGAAGCUAGCUAUGUCGUAGAUAUUUUCUGCCUCUAGAUUUUCUUACAGCUCUCAAGUGAAAUAACUGGACAAGGAUGAAGUGAUUUUUUUCAAUGAAGAUUCUAGCAACAAGGAAGGUGGUUAAAACCUGGAUUGAUCUUAAACAGAAGAAUCAAGUGUCUCGAAAUCGAAGGUCAAUUUCAGCAAUUCUUGUUUAAUAUCAGGACUUGGGAUAAUUUUCCUCAAUGCAAUCCAUUUAGCAAUGAAGAAGACUGAAGAACUACUUCGGAUAUUACUCCAAUCCUCAAAUUAUUUUCAGGGGCAUAUAUGCAUGAUAACCUGUUGGCUAAGUUAUUAGCUUGUGUGUGUGGUCAAAACAACAUAAAAAAAUACAGUUACAGAUGGGAACUCAGAUUUUCCACAAGACUACGCAUUCUUUGAGGGGAGUACCCAUACUGUUACAGAUGAGUCUAAUUAAUGUCUACUACAAUGCUUUUGAUGGGAAUUUCGACACUUUAGUUGCAGCACUCAACAAACUUGGAUAUGGUGAUCAGAUGCCCAUUGUUAUUGGGGUGGUGGGUUGGCCAACUGAUGGAGCCAUUGGUGCAAACCUCACUGCAGCAAGGGUUUUCAACCAGCAGGGACUUGUAUAAAUCAUGUAUUGAGUAACAAAGGAACCCCUCCGAGACCAGGUGCCCCUCCCAUGGAUAUUUAUUUUUUCGGUCUGCUUGUUGAAGGAGCAAAGAGUACUGUACUCCCAGGAAACUUUGAAAGACAUGGGGGAUUUUCGAUCGUUUGAUGGCCAAGCUAAAUAUGCAUUGAACCUUGCAUGGUUUCGGUAACAGGUUACUGAAGAAUGCAAAGAAUGUUAAGUGUAUUCCAUCAAGGUGGUGUGUGGCAGACCCUUCAAAGGAUUUGAUAAAUGUAGCCAAUCACCUGAGAAUAGCCUGCAGUGCUCUCGAUUGCACAACACUUAAUUAUGGCGGAUCAUGCAAUGAAAUUA
rnacentral:lncRNA from 1 species